GCGUGGAUGAAGAAGGUCUUCGGAUUGUAAAGUCCUUUCGGCGGGGACGAUGAUGACGGUACCCGCAGAAGAAGCCCCGGCUAACUUCGUGCCAGCAGCCGCGGUAAUACGAAGGGGGCUAGCGUUGCUCGGAAUGACUGGGCGUAAAGGGCGCGUAGGCGGUUUGGACAGUCAGGCGUGAAAUUCCUGGGCUUAACCUGGGGGCUGCGCUUGAUACAUCCAGACUUGAGUGGGGAAGAGGGUCGUGGAAUUCCCAGUGUAGAGGUGAAAUUCGU
rnacentral:rRNA from 1 species